CGCAAGUGCGAUGAGGGGACCCCAAGUGCGAGGGCAUAUAGUCCUCGCUUUUCCCGACUGUAAGGCGGUCGGGGAAUAAGGGCUGGGCAAGACCGGUGCCAGCCGCCGCGGUAAUACCGGCAGCCCAAGUGAUGACCGAUAUUAUUGGGCCUAAAGCGUCCGUAGCCGGCCACGAAGGUCCAUCGGGAAAUCCGCCAGCUCAACUGGCGGGCGUCCGGUGGAAACCACGUGGCUUGGGACCGGAAGGCUCGAGGGGUACGUCCGGGGUAGGAGUGAAAUCCCGUAAUCCUGGACGGACCACCGAUGGCGAAAGCACCUCGAGAAGACGGAUCCGACGGUGAGGGACGAAAGCUAGGGUCUCGAACCGGAUUAGAUACCCGGGUAGUCCUAGCUGUAAACGAUGCUCGCUAGGUGUGGCACAGGCUACGAGCCUGUGCUGUGCCGUAGGGAAGCCGAGAAGCGAGCCGCCUGGGAAGUACGUCC
rnacentral:rRNA from 1 species